UACGUAGGGGGCAAGCGUUGUCCGGAAUCAUUGGGCGUAAAGCGCGUGUAGGCGGCUUGGUAAGUCCGCUCUGAAAGCCCGGGGCUCAACCCCGGGAGGCGGGUGGAUACUGUCAAGCUCGAGUCCGGAAGAGGCGAGUGGAAUUCCUGGUGUAGCGGUGAAAUGCGUAGAUAUCGGGAGGAACACCUGUGGCGAAAGCGGCGCACUGGACCACAUCUGACGCUGAGGCGCGAAAGCUAGGGGAGCAAACAGG
rnacentral:rRNA from 1 species